rnacentral:rRNA from 1 species
AUUGAACGCUGGCGGAAUGCUUUACACAUGCAAGUCGAACGGCAGCACGGACUUCGGUCUGGUGGCGAGUGGCGAACGGGUGAGUAAUGUAUCGGAACGUGCCCAGUCGUGGGGGAUAACGCAGUGAAAAUUACGCUAAUACCGCAUACGAUCUAUGGAUGAAAGCGGGGGAUCGCAAGACCCCGCGCGAUUGGAGCGGCCUAUAUCAGAUUAGGUAGUUGGUGGGGUAAAGGCCCACCAAGCCAACGAUCUGUAGCUGGUCUGAGAGGACGACCAGCCACACUGGAACUGAGACACGGUCCAGACUCCUACGGGAGGCAGCAGUGGGGAAUUUUGGACAAUGGGCGAAAGCCUGAUCCAGCCAUUCCGCGUGCAGGAUGAAGGCCCUCGGGUUGUAAACUGCUUUUGUACAGAACGAAAAGGUUUCUACUAAUACUAGGAGCUCAUGACGGUACUGUAAGAAUAAGCACCGGCUAACUACGUGCCAGCAGCCGCAGUAA